rnacentral:rRNA from 1 species
CGGGGUGCAGCAGGCGCGAAACCUCUGCAAUAGGCGAAAGCCUGACAGGGUUACUCUGAGUGAUUCCCGCUAAGGGGAUCUUUUGGCACCUCUAAAAAUGGUGCAGAAUAAGGGGUGGGCAAGCCUGGUGUCAGCCGCCGCGGUAAUACCAGCACACCGAGUGGUCGGGACGAUUAUUGGGCCUAAAGCAUCCGUAGCCGGCCACGCAAGUCCUCCGUUAAAUCCACCCGCUCAACGGUUGGGCUGCGGAGGAUACUACGUGGCUAGGAGGCGGGAGAGGCAAGCGGUACUCAAUGGGUAGGGGUAAAAUCCUUUGAUCCAUUGAAGACCACCAGUGGCGAAGGCGGCUUGCCAGAACGCGCUCGACGGUGAGGGAUGAAAGCUGGGGGAGCAAACCGGAUUAGAUACCCGGGUAGUCCCAGCUGUAAACGAUGCAGACUCGGUGAUGGGAUGGCCUCGAGCCAUCCCAGUGCCGCAGGGAAGCCGUUAAGUCUGCCGCCUGGGGAGUACGGUCGCAAGACUGAAACUUAAAGGAAUUGGCGGGGG